AGAUGACUCACGCACGCUGUUAGCCAAUGGAGACAGACGUCUGCGUGUGGCGGCCAUCUUGCUACGGGCAAGUAGGAUUUAAAUCAACAUAGAUUGAUUAAUUAUAAACCGAUCUUCGCACGGUUUGUUUUUAUAUAUAUAUAAAAAUAUAAUGUAUAUAUGUACUGUAUAUAUAUAUAUAUAAGUUUAAUUUUAAAGAGAGUACAACGAGGGUAAACUCUAGUCUCUGUUACUCACAUGUCAAAUCCUGUCACUGUGGAACGGUAACAGGGUUGACAGUAACAGGGUUGACCGUUUUAAGCUAAUCUGCCUGUGGCUAGCUUAAAUAAAUGCUAGCUAAAGUGCAAGCUAGGUACUUUGAAAGGCGCUUACUUGUAGAUAUUGAUUAUAUUUUUGAGAAAUAGAAAAUUGUUUUGGUUUAUAUGUUAGAAAGUGCUAACAGGGUUGACUUUGUAUGUUUGUCCCUCCUGGUUAAACCUUGAAAAAACAUCAAAAAUAGCCCAUCAGAGAUGAGAGAAACUUCAUUGUCACUGAGCUGUUCGCAUCCUGGCUCAGAGAGGAUGCAACCUCCUGUCAAUCAUGUCAAAUCUGGAAUGUACCAUUAUUUAUUUAUUUAUUAUUAUUUUUUUAGUUAGGGUAAAAGGGUCGACAUGAAAUCAGGGGACACCGAUAAAUUGGUAAACAUAUAUAUAAUGAUUAAUAUUUAUUAUUACCAAAAACACUGUUUAUUUAUAGUCAUUUAUAUCAUUUAAAAUUUGACUUUAAUUUGAUGUUAUAUUAAGGAGAGAAGACAUGGUAAUGUUAUAUUUUGAAAUUACAAAUUAAUUUGUUAUAAUUUUUACUUCUUGGGGAUGCAAAAGGCACCGAUUUCACGGAAUGACCCAUAUAUAUAUAUAUAUAUAUAUAUACACACAUAUCUCCUUUCCUAUUCUUGUGUAUAGUUUUCAUUUUCAUUGCACGGUCUACGGUGAACUGCAUUUUUUUUUCAACUAUUUUUGUGUACUUCUAAUUCGGUCUCUGUUUCCUUUUUCUGUAUCUAUUGCACUGAAAAUGGAGAAGCUCUUCAAUCUCGUUGUACCUUCUGGAUAAUGACAAUAAAAGGCAUUCAGAUUUUGGUUCUAGAGCAAUAGCUGUAGGAGCCAGAAUAUAUUUGUUGAGUUUUAUUUCUAUAGGUACGUCACUUCCGGGAUCGUCACUGAGGGGUGUGUUUUUGGGAUGUUUGGCGGGUUAUUUCAGUCUCACAGGUGCAGUCAGACAAUGGGUUUGGUAAGCGCUGAUAAUUUUCUGUUGACCGCUUUUUCACCGCUUUAUUCAUUCAUCCUGUUUUAACCUCAUUUCAUCAUAUCACCUUUUAAGUUGAGGCCAAAAGUUUGGACCUGGAUUGGCGUGUUUUCCAUUUUUUGAACAAUAAAUCGUUUUUUAACACUCAAACCGGACUGAUCAUUCAAGCGAGUCACAGAUGGAAGCGAACCGAAAGCCCAGCGGCCUUUUUUGUUGAAGGAAAACAGUCUCUACAAUAGCUAUAGCUCUACAUACAAGGCAGUUAUAUUACAUCACUGAUAUGUAAAACAAUAAAUCACUGUGUAUGUUGUAUGAGUAAUUAUAAUAACACAUCACAUCAACUUAUAUGUAUUCAUUUUCAAUAUAAAUAUCUUUCUCAUGUUGCUUUUCUGUAUAUCUGUUCUGUGAGACAUCUAUAUAUGUAUGUCGUCAUAGUCAUUUUCUUCCGCUUCAUCCUGGUCCAGGUCCUGGGGGCAGCAGCUUCAGGAGGGAGGUCCAGGCUGCCCUCACCUCAGCCACUUCCACCAGCUCCUCCUCCGGGGGGAUUCCCAGGCGCUCCCAGGCCAGGCGAGAGAUAUAAUCCCUCCACCUGGUCCUGGGCCGGCCAUGAGGUCUCCUCCUGGUGGGACAUGUCUGGAACUCCUCUAACGGAGGCGUCCAGAAGGUGUCCUAACCAGAUGCCCGAGCCACCUCAGCUGACUCCUCUUGACGUGGAGGAGCAGCGGUUCUCCUCUGAGCUCCUCCCGAGUGUCCGAGCUCCUUACCCUAUCUCUAAGGCUGAGCCCGGACACCCUGAGGAGGAAACCCAUUUCAGCCGCUUGUAUCUGCGAUCUCGUUCUUUCGGUCAUUACCCAAAGUUCAUGACCAUAGGUGAGGAUCGGCACGUAGAUCGACCGGUAAAUCAAGAGUCUCUCCUUUCGGCUCAGCUCUUUCUUCAUACAUCAUACAUACACCCUGAUGAGAAAACCUUCCUCCACUGUUCAGACUCACUUUGAGGACUUUUUAAAGACCAAAUCUAGUUUCUGUUUGAAUGAAAAAUAAUAAUAAUCAAUUGGACACAGUGACUGAAACAAGCUGAGUUGAUGUUUUUAACAUGUUUUGGUUCAAAUAAAGUUUUUAUUGUCUUUAAACGACAUUGUUACGGUGAAAUGAAAUCAAAAAUGAUCUGGUGUAAAUGAAGAACCAACAUAGAGUUACACAGACAGAGCAUAGAUCUAUUGAUACUAGAUAAGCUUAAGAGGACAAAUCUGUUCACAAUAGUUCUAUGUUUCCUGUUUCUCCGCGGUGAGCAGACUGUGACAUGAGCUGUCCUGGCUUUUGAUUGGAUCUUUACAGGUCAUAUUUCACACAUUUUACUUUGACUUUCAGGUCUCAUUUAUGGUUUAAUAAUUCAGUUUGUUUAUCCAAACAAGAGGGAAUCGAUUAUUGAUGAGCACAAAGAUGAUAUGAGAACAAAAACAUGUAAAGAGACGAAAAAUAAUGUCUAAUAAUAUAAAAUAAGGUCAAUUUACCUCCAGUCAAUAUUUACAAUCAUUUCAGAAAAUGAAGAAGAAAACGGAUGAAUAAAAAUAAUCAAGUGAAAGAAUAAA
rnacentral:lncRNA from 1 species